rnacentral:rRNA from 1 species
UGGGGAAUUUUGGACAAUGGGCGAAAGCCUGAUCCAGCAAUGCCGCGUGUGUGAAGAAGGCCUUCGGGUUGUAAAGCACUUUUGUCCGGAAAGAAAUCCUUGGCUCUAAUACAGUCGGGGGAUGACGGUACCGGAAGAAUAAGCACCGGCUAACUACGUGCCAGCAGCCGCGGUAAUACGUAGGGUGCAAGCGUUAAUCGGAAUUACUGGGCGUAAAGCGUGCGCAGGCGGUUUGCUAAGACCGAUGUGAAAUCCCCGGGCUCAACCUGGGAACUGCAUUGGUGACUGGCAGGCUAGAGUAUGGCAGAGGGGGGUAGAAUUCCACGUNUAGCAGUGAAAUGCGUAGAGAUGUGGAGGAAUACCGAUGGCGAAGGCAGCCCCCUGGGCAAUACUGACGCUCAUGCACGAAAGCGUGGGGAGCAAACAGGAUUAGAUACCCUGGUAGUCCACGCCCUAAACGAUGUCAACUAGUUGUUGGGGAUUCAUUUCCUUAGUAACGUAGCUAACGCGUGAAGUUGACCGCCUGGGGAGUACGUCGCAAGAUUAAAACUCAAAUGAAUUGACGGGGUCAUAGCUG